AUGGCGACACGGCCGGAGCUGAUGGACGACCUCCUCGGCGAGGUCCUCCUCCGCCUCCCGCCGGACGAGCCCGAGCACCUCUUCCGCGCCGCCAUCGUCUGCAAGUCGUGGCUCCGCAUCGUCUGCGACCCCGCCUUCCGCCGCCGCUACCGCGCCUUCCACGGAGCCCCUCCCCUCCUCGGCCUCCUCCACCUGCUCCAGGUCCUCCAAGGAAGCCCCGCGCACCGCUUCGCCUCCACCACGUCGAUGCCGGACUUCCCCUACCCGGGCUCCGACGGCGAGGGCGAGCACCCCACCCCCCUCGACUGCCGCCACGGCCGCGUGCUCUACCACUUGGUGCAGGGCGACAGCCUGGUUCUCGUCGUCUCAGACCCCGUCACGGGCGACCGGCGCGUUCUGCCCGCGCCGGGCGUCGAUUGGUUCAUCUGGACCGCCGCGGUGUUCUGCGCCGCCGAUGGCUGCCGACAUCUCGACUGCCAAGGCGGCCCCUUCCGCGUGGCCUUCCUGGGCACCGGCAACGACGACCGUGUCGUUAAGGCGAACGUGUACUCAUCGGUGACAGGUGCGUGGAGUGCGCCAGUAUGCCUCGACGAUGGCUGUGAAGGCUAUGCCCAGCUCAAGCGAGAUGACAUUGCAAAAAACUUCUACCACCUACCCUAUGUCAUGCCUCGGCGAGUAGCCGUCAUUGGAGAUGCAGUCUACUUCACACUUCGGUCGGUUGACAAAAUCCUCAAGUACAACUUGCCAAACAAGUGCUUCUCCAUGAUCAGCCAGCCGCCACACGAUUUGGCCCCAAUGGCUCUCAUGGUGAUGGAGGACAGUUCGCUGGGGUUUGCCUGCAUCAACAAUUCUAGCCUUUGUUUGUGGUCAAGGAAGGUGGAUCCAGAAGCGGCUGCAGAAUGGGUGCAAUGCAGGGUCAUCGAGCUGGAGAAAAUUAUACCAGAUGUCGAUCUCGAUUGGGAACCAUUUGUGGUUGGUUCCGCAGAGGGUGUGGGUGUCAUCUUCAUAAGCACAGAUGCUGGCUUAAUCGCCACAGAGCUAAAGUCAGGGCGAGUCAGGAAGGUUGACGAGCCGGGAGAGUACUUUAGCGUCCUACCCUACAUGAGCUUCUACACUCCAGAUCGUGGCAGAUUGUUGGCGCUAGCGAAGACUCAUUGA
rnacentral:rRNA from 1 species